rnacentral:rRNA from 1 species
UGGGGAAUAUUGGACAAUGGGCGAAAGCCUGAUCCAGCCAUGCCGCGUGUGUGAAGAAGGUCUUCGGAUUGUAAAGCACUUUAAGUUGGGAGGAAGGGUUGUAGAUUAAUACUCUGCAAUUUUGACGUUGCCGACAGAAUAAGCACCGGCUAACUCUGUGCCAGCAGCCGCGGUAAUACAGAGGGUGCAAGCGUUAAUCGGAAUUACUGGGCGUAAAGCGCGCGUAGGUGGUUUGUUAAGUUGGAUGUGAAAGCCCCGGGCUCAACCUGGGGACUGCAUCCAAAACUGGCAAGCUAGAGUACGGUAGAGGGUGGUGGAAUUUCCUGUGUAGCGGUGAAAUGCGUAGAUAUAGGAAGGAACACCAGUGGCGAAGGCGACCACCUGGACUGAUACUGACACUGAGGUGCGAAAGCGUGGGGAGCAAAACAGGAUUAGAUAGCCCUGGUAGUCCACGCCGUAAAGCGAUGUCAACUAGCCGUUGGAAUCCUUGAGAUUUUAGUGGCGCAGCUAACGCAUUAAGUUGACCGCCUGGGGAGUACGGCCGCAAGGUUAAAACUCAAAUGAAUUGACGGGGUCAUAGCUGUUU